GACGAACGCUGGCGGCGUGCCUAAUACAUGCAAGUCGAACGCAGUGGGGACGGGUGAGUAACACGUGGGUAACCUCCCAUCAGAGGGGAUAACACUUGGAAACAGGUGCUAAACCGAUACUGAUGGAUGAACCCGCGGUGCAUUAGCUAGUUGGUGGGGUACCGGCUCACCUAGGCCACGAUGCAUAGCCGACCUGGGAGAGUUGUCGGCCACACGGGGACGGAGACACGGCCCAGACUCCUACGGGAGGCAGCAGUAGGGAAUCUUCGACAAGGGACGAAAGUCUGACCGAGCAACGCCGCGUGAUUGAAGAAGGUUUUCGGAUCGUAAAACUCUGUGGUUAGGGAAGCGGUAUCUAACCAGAAAGCCACGGCUAACUACGUGCCAGCAGCCGCGGUAAUAC
rnacentral:rRNA from 1 species